rnacentral:lncRNA from 1 species
AGAGACGUAUCAAGGCCGGACAAGAUGGUUCCCGAUCGUCAGAAUUCCUGUCCGCGCCUUGCGUCAGCCCCGCCGAAAGGAUCGCCCCCCCUAGUCAAACCGCUCGCGCCCCAGAGGCCUCAUGGAGUCCCGCCUCAGGCUCGGGCCUUGGCCCCCAAAGAAAGCCACUCCGACGUGUUUGAGAUGGGCUUAGUUCCCGGACCCGUCCUACUGCCGGCCUGAGUACUGUGCGCCCAGAGUGCGCAGGCGCAAACAUCCUGGGUUGCUGUUUUGGCCUCUUUGUUCGGGCGUGAAUUUUGUUUAUUGCUCCUUAGUGCAGAGGGGUUAUGGGACCAGAGGUUGUGAGACUCAGAAGUGGUUGGGGACGCAGAAGGGGUGUAGACCAGGAACCUGCGACCUGAUGGGGGGAGGUCGAAGGGAAAGGAAUCGCCAAACGUGGGACAGGUUUGGAGAGGCAGAAAGAGAGGAGUCUGAAAUUGCAAAGGGCAGGUGUUAUUCUGACUUCUGUGUGCUUUGUGAUAAAUGAGUGGGGCAGGAAGUAAGAGGAGUUUCACUUUCUCCUUCUGCAAUUAUUUGUGUACUUGGACUAAGUGUAUCUCAUGGCCAGUAUUUGACUGCUUUUGACCUAUAAAGGUAUUGUAUACACAGUCAUGCAUAGUUUAAUAAUAAGGAUAUAUGCUCUCCCCACGGUCUCCCUCUCCCUCUCUUUCCACGGUCUCCCUCUGAUGCCGAGCCAAAGCUGGACUGUACUGCUGCCCUCUCGGCUCACUGCAACCUCCCUGCCUGAUUCUCCUGCCUCAGCCUGCCGAGUGCCUGCGAUUGCAGGCGCGCGCCGCCACGCCUGACUGGUUUUCGUAUUUUUUUGGUCUCCACCAAACACAGGGUUUCGCUGUGUUGGCCGGGCUGGUCUCCAGCUCCUAACCGCGAGUGGUCCGCCAGCCUCGGCCUCCCGAGGUGCCGGGAUUGCAGACGGAGUCUUGUUCACUCAGUGCUCAAUGGUGCCCAGGCUGGAGUGCAGUGGCGUGAUCUCGGCUCGCUACAACCUCCUCCCAGCCGCCUGCUUUGGCCCCCCAAAGAGCCGAGAUUGCAGCCUCUGCCCCGCCGCCACCCCAUCUGGGAAGUGAGGAGCUUCUCUGCCUGGCCGCCCAUCGUCUGGGAUGUGAGGAGCCCCUCUGCCUGGCUGCCCAGUCUGGAAAGUGAGGAGCGUCUCUGCCAGGCCGCCCAUCGUCUGGGAUGUGGGGAGCGCCUCUGCCCCGCCGCCCCGUCUGGGAUGUGAGGAACGCCUCUGCCUGGCCGCGACCCCGUCUGGGAGGUGAGGAGCGUCUCUGCCCGGCCGCCCCGUCUGAGAAGUGAGACCCUCUGCCUGGCAACCGCCCCGUCUGAGAAGUGAGGAGCCCCUCCGCCCGGCAGCCGCCCCGUCUGAGAAGUGAGGAGCCCCUCCGUCCGGCAGCCACCCCGUCUGGGAAGUGAGGAGCGUCUCCGCCCGGCAGCCACCCCAUCCGGGAGGGAGGUGGGGGUCACCCCCGCCAGGCCAGCCGCCCCGUCCGGGAGGGAGGUGGGGGGGUCAGCCCCCCGCCCGGCCAGCCGCCCCGUUCGGGAGGGAGGUGGGGGGGUCAGUCCCCCGCCCGGCCAGCCGCCCCGUCCGGGAGGCGAGGGGCGCCUCUGCCUGGCCACCCCAUCUGGGAGGUGUACCCAACAGCUCAUUGAGAACGGGCCAUGAUGACAAUGGCGGUGUUGUGGAAUAGAAAGGCGGGAAAGGUGGGGAAAAGAUUGAGAAAUCGGAUGGUUGCCGUGUCUGUGUAGAAAGACGUAGAUAUGGGAGUCUUUUCAUUUUGUUCUGUACUAAGAAAAAUUCUUCUGCCUUGGGAUCCUGUUGAUCUGUGACCUUACCCCCAACCCUGUGCUCUCUGAAACAUGUGCUGUGUCCACUCAGGGUUAAAUGGAUUAAGGGCGGUGCAAGAUGUGCUUUGUUAAACAGAUGCUUGAAGGCAGCAUGCUCGUUAAGAGUCAUCACCACUCCCUAAUCUUAAGUACCCAGGGACACAAACACUGCCGAAGGCCGCAGGGUCCUCUGCCUAGGAAAACCAGAGACCUUUGUUCACUUGUUUAUCUGCUGACAUUCCCUCCACUAUCGUCCUAUGACCCUGCCAAAUCCCCCUCUGCAAGAAACACCCAAGAAUGAUCAAUUAAAAAAAAAUAAAUAAAUAAAUAAUAAGGAUAUAUUCUGGCCGGGUGCGGUGGUUCACGCCUGAAAUCCCAGCACUUUGGGAGGCUGAGGGGUUUGAGACCAGCCUGGGCAACAUGGUGUAAACCCCGUCUAUACUAAAAAUGCAAAAAUUAGCCGGGCAUGGUGGUGCGCGCCUGUAGUCCCAGCUACUCGGGAGGCUGAGGCAGGAGAAUCGCUUGAACCCAGGAGGCAGAGGUUGCAGUGAGCCAAGAUUGCACCACUGCACUCCAGCCUGGGCGACAGAGUGAGACUCGGUCUCAAAAAAAAAAAGGAUACAUUCUGAGAAAUGCAUUGUUGGGCAAUUUCAUCAUUAUGGAGUGUACUGACACAAACCUAGAUGGUAUAGCUGACUGAACACUUAGGCUACAUGGUAUAACCUGUUGCUCCUAAACUACAAAGCUAUACAGUAUGUUACUGUACUGAAUACAGUUGGAACACUGUAGGGACCAGCCCUACAAGGUCUGUGGGUUUUUCUCCCUGUGUGCAGAGACUAGAGGUGGUAGAAAUAAAGACACAAGACAAAGAGAUAAAAGACACCUGGGCCCGGGUGAGCCACUACCACCAAGACACAGAGACUGAUAGUGGCCCCGAAUGCCAGGCUGCACUGUUAUUUAUUGGAUACAAGACAAGGGGGGCAGGGUAAGGAGUGUGAGCCAUCUCCAAUGAUAGGUAAGGUCACGUGGGUCACGUGUCCACUGGACAGGGGGCCCUUCCCUGUUUGGCAGCUGAAGCGGAGAGAGAGAGAAGACAGCUUACGCAUUAUUUCUGCAUAUCAGAGACUUUUAGUACUUUCACUAAUUUUGUUACUGCUAUCUAGAAGGCAGGGCCAGGUGUACAGGAUGGAACAUGAAAGCGGACCAGUAGUGUGACCACUGAAGCACAGCAUCACAGGAAGACGGUUAGACCUCCAGAUAACUGCGGGCGGGCCUGACUCAUGUCAGGCCCUCCACAAGACAUGGUGGAGUAGAGUCUUCUCUAAACUCCCCCGGGGAAAGGGAGACUCCCUUUGCUGGUCUGCUAAGUAGUGGGUGCUUUUCCUUGGCACUGACGCUACUGCUAGACCACAAUCCGCUUGGUAACAGGCGUCUUCCCAGACGCUAACGUUCCGCUAGACCAAGGAGCCCUCUGGUGGCCCUGUCCGGGCAUAACAGAGGCUCACACACUUGUCUUCUGGUCACUUCUCACCAUGUCCCUUCAGCUCAUACCUCUGUAUGGCCUGGUUUUUCCUAGGUUAUGAUUGUAGAGUGAAGAUUAUUAUAAUAUUUGAAUAAAGAGUAAUUACUACAAACUAAUGAUUAGUGAUACUUGUGUAUAAUCAUAUCUGUGAUCUGUAUCUAGUGUAAUUCUUGUUAUUUUAUAUAUUUUAUUAUACUGAAACAGCCCAUGCCCUCGGUCUCUUGCCUCGGCACCUGGGUGGCUUGCUGCCCACAGAACACAAUGGUAAGUAUUUAUGUAUCUAAACAUAUCUAAACACACAAAAGGUACAGUAAAAAAAACAGCAUGAAAAGUAAAAAAUGGUACACUUGUAUAGGGUACUUACCAAGAAUGGAGGCUGCAGGACUGGAAGUUGCUCUGGAGAGUCGAUGAGAGGUGAGUGAAUGUGAAGGCUAGGACAUUACAGUACAACACUCUAGACUUUAUAAACAUUGUACAC